CUCUGUCUCUCUCUAUCGUUCGUUCUCUAUUGUUAAGUGUCUCUUGUGGCUUGUUUCCCUUUCUUAUCUCACCCCCUCUUCCCAUAUGUUCAUCUGUUUUGUUUUUUGAC